CCUACGGGUGAGCAGCAGUGGGGAAUAUUGGGCAAUGGGCGCAAGCCUGACCCAGCAACGCCGCGUGAAGGAAGAAGGCUUUCGGGUUGUAAACUUCUUUUCUGAGGGACGAAGAAAGUGACGGUACCUCAGGAAUAAGCCACGGCUAACUAAGUGACAGCAGCCGCGGUAAUAGGUAGGUGGCAAGCGUUAUCCGGAUUUAGUGGGGGUAAAGGGCGUGUAGGCGGGAAAGCAAGUCAGAUGUGAAAACUCAGGGCUCAACCCUGAGCCUGCAUUUGAAACUGUUUUUCUUUAGUGCUGGAGAGGCAAGCGGAAGUCGGGGUGUAGCGGUGAAAUGCGUAGAUAUACGGAGGAACACCAGUGGCGAAGGCGGAUUGCUGGACAGUAACUGACGCUGAGGCGCGAAAGCGUGGGGAGCAAACAGGAUUAGAUACCCUUGUAGUC
rnacentral:rRNA from 1 species